UUUUGGGGGGGGGUGUCACUGACAUAUGAUCCAAGUGCUCAAUGACAUUGGUUUAGACUCAAAACAGAACUAAGAACUGGUGUAUAACAUAUGGUUUACUUCAACAACCAAUUUCAUUCGGAACAAAAAAAAAAGAUACAAAAAAAUUUGGUUGCUUUGGUAAAUAAAAUCUUAAGAUGUCACUUUAAAUCACAGCUGGCCAAUUAACACAUCAAAGAAUUAAUAAUAUACGUAGCGUUAUAUUAGCAUGCAGAUGUUCAUUUCAUGAUUUAUUGGUAUUAAACAAGAUGGAUAGCAGAGUCUUGUUGCUGUUAUUGUUAGUCACGACAUCCUCACAAAUGUAUUUUAAGCCCUUAUCAAAAUGUUUCUAUAAUGGGAGAAGGUAUGAUGUAGAAGAUAAGUUCCAUGCUGAAGAUGGGUGUAACCUCUGUGUCUGUGCUGAUUCUGAGGACAUGGAUUACCCUGUACCUAUUGUUAAAUGUUCAACCGAGCCGUGUGAUGUGUAAUUUUAACGGAACACAACUUGUAAACACAGAUUAAUGCUGUUUAUUUUUAUGGUUUAAUAUAAACUAUGGCUUGGAACUACAAUAUAUAAAAUAAAUCCGCCUGUACAAUUAAAUAAGUUACUGAAUAAAUAUGUCAUGUGAUGUGGACUUUUAA